rnacentral:lncRNA from 1 species
ACUUUUCGUCGGUCUAGCUAGAAGGUUUAGAGAAAGUAAGGGUAUUAUAAUAAACACAUUUGAAGAGCUGGAAUCUCAUGCGAUUGACUCCUUUUCUAAGGCCAAGGGUAAUACCCCUCCGGUAUAUCCAGUGGGUCCCAUUUUAAACCUUAAUAGAGAUGCUGAUUGUGACGAGGAGUCUGAUAAAUACAAAGACAUCAAGCAAUGGCUCGAUGAGCAGCCUCUAUCCUCGGUAGUGUAUCUAUGCUUCGGAAGCAUGGGGAGUUUCGGUGCGGAUCAAGUGAAGGAAAUUGCUUGCGGGCUAGAGCAGAGUGGGCAUCGAUUCUUGUGGUCUCUACGUAAACCACCACCGAAAGGCGAGAUGGAACUUCAUCCAAGCGAUUACACUGAUCCUCGGGAUGUCUUACCUGAAGGGUUUUUGGAUCGGACGACUAACAUUGGAAAAAUAAUUGGAUGGGCCCCACAAACAGAUAUUUUGGCCCAUCCAUCUGUAGGAGGGUUUGUUUCGCACUGUGGAUGGAACUCUGUAUUGGAAAGCAUAUGGUUUGGCGUUCCAAUUGCCACAUGGCCAUUACAUGCAGAGCAACAACUUAAUGCUUUUAUGUUAAUUGUUGAGCUCGGAUUGCGAGUGGAAAUUAAAAUGGAUUAUAGAAGAGAAUUUAACUGGGAUGGUAGUGAAAAUGUCAUUAGUGCCGGGGAGAUCGAGAGAGGAGUAAGGUGUUUAAUGGAGCUUUGCGAUGAGAAGAGGGAGAAGUUGAAGGAGAUGAGUGGAAAGAGCAGGAAGGCUUUGGAGAACGGUGGAUCCUCGUUCACUUGGUUAGGUCGUUUCAUUCAAGAUACGGUAGACCACCUGCCAUGAUUAAACUGUACUCUCUUCGUGUUAUUUAAUAAAACGCUUGAGUCUUUCUAGGGCAGGACCUAACUUUAUAUAUUCUAUUUGGGUUGGCAAUCCAGCAAGACCAAAUCUCAAUAUAUAUUAAAAAAAAUACAAAAAUAUUAAAAAUAUUAAUUUGAAGUAAAGAAAACAAUAAAAAAUAUUUAAAAAAUUUUCAAAGCAUUUUUUACACCAAAACCAAACAUGUUUUAAUAAGAAAAUUCAACUCAAUAAAAAAAAUUAUCAUCACCUAAAGUUUGUAUAAUGUAAAACAAAAUCAUAUUAAUUUAUUUUCUCAUUACAGUAUGAAAACAAAUCAAUAAGAGAAAAGAAAAGAAAAUUCAAGAGGAAGAUAAUUUUUUUUAUUUGUUAAAAAUUAUUUUUUAUAUAAUCAUGUCAAAUUAAUACAAAAACAUCUUAAUAUGAAUUAAGGAAAAAUAAUAAUUUAAAGUAAAGAAAAAAAUAAAAAAAUUAUCAAAUUUUUUUCAAAGCAUUGUUGAAAAACAAAAACAAAAAUGGUUUAAUAAGAAAAUUCAACCCAACCUAAAACUAAAAAAAACUUUAUCAUCACCUAAUUUUUUUAGAAUAUAAAAAAACAAUAUUGGGUUCAGCUGCCCUGGCAAACCCAAGCCAGACCCAACCUCUUUUUUGGCACUUUUUGGAAGUGUUUUGAAUCUAACUUGUCAGCCCGGCCCAAUAGUGUUGGGCCCAGCUACCAAGCCCCACCUAACAACUUUUUGCAGAGAAGGCAACGCCCUCAGCCACAAUUUUUUACCAAAAACACAGAUGAGAAUCGUCUCUUAAGGCGCUGCAAUAUUGUCCACAUUGAAAGCAAUCUAUACCUAUAAUGUCGUCUACAAUGCAAUGUGUCUGUGUCCACUCCCAUAUGUUUUGAAAGAGCCCAGCAGACAGUAAAUGCAACUACCUGUUGGAUCUUAUAUAAUACAAAAAUAUAAAGUAUAUUAUGUGAACGAAAAAAUUAUUUGGAAUUAUAAUUUUUCUGAAAGCUUUUAUUUUGAAAAACAAAUUCAAGAGGGUUCUUUGAAACCCUCGGAUUGGAUAUUUUGACCAAUAAAAAACAUUUCACUUCACCAAAAAGCAAAACAAAAGUUUUUAACACUGAUACAACCCUAUCCAUGAGAAUCGAUUAAAUUUUCAGGACAAGUUUGUUUAAAACAAACAUCAAAAUGAUUUUUUGAAUAGCUUUACAACUUAUCUUUCACACAGCCUUGUCCCUAAAGAAACCUAAACACUUGAGAACAUGAUCAAACUGAGAGGCAAUCCAACAAACACAUAAUAGGGUUGAUGCAGAGCUGGCAACCUUUAUAUAAAGGUUUGUGGGCAAAGAAAUAUGCUGAUGUGAUACCCCUCCUAGAGGUCAAGAUCAUAAGAUGUGACUCUAGUAAGCAAAAGUAAAGAGUCGUCAAAGCUUACUAUCAAAGAUUCAAAUUUUUUAGAAAAGGAAAACUCCAUAAGAAAAGGAGACAUAUAUUUCUUAGGUAAGUAUACAUGCAUUUCAAUCAUGAUACAUUGCUUCCAUCAUUUGAUAGAUCGGUGUCUCACCAUCACCUCUUUUUGAGUGCGUUAUUGGGCCCUCAUCAUUCAGCUAGUACACUUUACAGCCCUACCUUUUUUUUUCCUUUUGAGUAUGCCUUCGAGCCCUCCACCACUUAAGUUUUGUACUUUGCAGCCCUACCUUUUUCAAUUUGAACAUGCUUUCGAGCUCUCCACCAUAUUAGGUUUUGCGCUUUACAGAUCUAUAUUUUUUCCUUCGAGUGCGUCUUCAAGCCCUCAACCAUCUUGAGUCAGGCAUUUUCUAACCAAACUUUCUUUUGAGUGCGCCUAAGAGCCCUCGACUACCAUGAAUAGUGCGUUUUCAAACCUCUUUCAAUUCUUUUAGAAAAUACUUUUAAAAUGUAAAAAUAACAUGGCGUUAUCUUUUUAUUAAUUUUCUCAUCCUCUAGUGGUUUCAAGGGUUUUGUACUGUAUAAAAGGACUUUUAUAAUAUUUAGGAAUGUGGUUAAAAUAUUGUUCGGUAAAAAUUUAAAUUUAAUUUUUUAUAUUUUUUAAUUGGUUUAAUGUAUUACUAUUAAAAAUAAAUUUAAAUUUUUUAUAUUAUACCCUAUACAGGACUUCCUUUAUACGCAUAACCAAAAGGGCAUCGAUUGUAUUUUUGUACAGAGAAGUAUAUAAAGCAAUUAAUGAAAAACACGUACCCCUAAAUCGAAAUACUUCAUAGUUGUUUUCUCCAUACAAUUUUCUCCUUUUCGUUUUAUUUUCAAGUAUGUUUAAAAACAAAUUUUAUAUAUUUCUUUGUCUUGAAGAAGAUACUGUUCUUGCAAAUUAAAAAAAAAAAAAACUCAUCCUGCAUUUACAAAGCAAGAAAAUAAUGUCUUUGAAUAACAAGUAGUUUUUAUUGAAGAUCAUGUAUUAUCUUAAUUUACAAAAUCAGGAUGUAUCUCCAUCAGAAAGGAGAAAACCAUUCCUUCCUAAGUUAUUUUAUAUUAAAAUAAAUAUUUUUUUAUUUUUAAAAUAUUAUUUUUAAUAUCAACACAUCAAAACAUUCUAAAAUAAUAAAAAAAUAAUUUUUAACAAAAACAAAAUUCAAAAUUCAAAAUUCAAAAAAUCAUAAUUUAAUCCGCAUUACCAAAGAUAACCUUCAUUUUCUUUUUCAAACGUUAGUAUGCAUGAUUUCUGCAAUGCCUUUUAUUUGUCAGGUAAAGUGAAACUUUCUACGCAAAGAAACUUUUAGUAAAUAAAGAAAGUGGAGAUGGGCCGGGCUUUCCUCGUACAAACUUGGAGCACAUCGCAUGUGGAUACGAUCAGGAGAAUGUUGGAUCGGUUAAGCCCAUAUUUUGUCUUAGGCCUAACCAAUGCUUAUUUGAUUAUUAGAAAUUUGAAAUUACAUUAUAUAUGUAAAUCGAACUAAUCGUAUUAUUACUUUGCAUUAUUUCUAAAAAUAUCAUCUUUCCUUCAAGAACUGUCCCUUUUCACUAAGGGCAUUUAUUUAUUUAUUUUUAUUAAAAUAUAGGUGUUAUUUGGUUCUAGAUUAAAUUUUUUUUAAAGAAAUUCUUAGAGUUGAUGUGUCUAGGUGUGACCUAGUUAAUAGGGUUAUUAACCAAGUUGUUUUGAGUGUAUAUAUAUAACUUGAACUUGGCCCAGAUCAAAUUUAAAAUCCUUGCUUUUUAAAUUAAUUUAUCAAGUUAAAUUAAGUUUAAUCAUUAUGACAUUUGGUUUUUUUUCUUGAUUUAAAGUUCAAGAUUAGUGUUUAUUUUCUAACUGAUACAAGAUGAUGUGUUUUUAAAGUUAUUCGUAACCUAAAUUUAAUCUCUAUUAACAUAAAUCCUAAAGCAUCAAUAUAUAUAUAUAUAUAUAUAUAGAAAAUUCAGCCCAAAAUAUGUAGUAAAAAACGUUGUCUUCUACUUUGAAUUUCAUAAAAGAGAUCUAAAUUUAAAUUUCUGACAGGGACGGCAUCCCAUUUUUUUGGGUCUUCUUGACGAAUUGUAAAAGCAGUCCACAAUCACAGCAAAGCCAUGACCUCACUCUUAUUCUUGUCCUGCUCGUAUAUAUUUUUGAACAAUAUAUUGCCAAUCUCAAGUCCACUUAAUUACAGCCACAAACAGUGCCUUUAAAAAGGAUACGAAAAUCAGUCUUUUACAUGCAAUCCCACCUUGAAAUCCUCUAGCAAACAAAGAAAAAAAAAAGGAGCUCAGUAGCAGAAUGAAGAAAGCUGAGCUGGUCUUCAUACCAACACCAGGUAUAAGCCACCUCGUAUCCACAGUAGAGGUAGCAAAGCUUCUUGUAGACCGUGAUGGGAGGCUUUCAAUCACCUUCCUCAUCAUGAAACUACGUUCUGACCCCAAGAUUGAUAGGUUUAUAAAUUCAGUGAGUACAGCCUGUAAUCGUAUCCGGUUCAUUGACUCCUAAAGAUGAGCCUGAUCCAAACCAACCUAGGAAGUUUCUCUUUUCUUUGAUUGAAUCCCAGAAACCCCAUGUCAAAGAAGAAGUCUUUAAGCUUGUGAGUCAGUCUGAGUCAAGCCCUGACUCGCCUUCUCUUGCUGGGUUUGUUCUUGAUAUGUUUUGUACAUCUAUGAUAGAUGUGGCCAAUGAAUUUGGUGUUCCCUCAUAUAUUUUCCUUACGUCAGGUGCAGCUUUUCUUGGCCUUCAAUUUUAUGUUCAGGCUCUUCACGAUGAGCAGAAAGUUGACCCUACUGAGUUCAAGGGCUCGGAUGCUGAGUUGGUCAUGCCGUGUUUGGCAAAUCCUCUUCCAGCUAAGGUCUUGCCUUCUGUUAUGCUUAACAAAGAGUGGCUGCCAAAUAUGCUCAGUCAAGCUAGAAGGUUUAGAGAAAGUAAGGGUAUUAUAAUAAACACAUUUGAAGAGCUGGAAUCUCAUGCGAUCGACUCCUUUUCUAUAGGUAAUAGCCCUCCGGUAUAUCCAGUGGGUCCCAUUUUAAACCUUAAUAGAGAUGGUGAUUGUGACGAGGAGUCUGAUAAAUACAAAGAUAUCAAGCAAUGGCUCGAUGAUCAGCCUCUAUCCUCGGUAGUGUAUCUAUGCUUCGGAAGCAUGGGGAGUUUCGGUGCGGAUCAAGUGAAGGAAAUUGCUUGUGCGCUAGAGCAGAGCGGCCAUCGAUUCUUGUGGUCUCUACGUAAACCACCACAGAAAGGUAAGAUGGAACCUCCAAGCGAUUACACUAAUCCUCGGGAUGCCUUACCUGAAGGAUUUUUGGAUCGGACGGCUAACAGUGGAAAAGUAAUUGGAUGGGCUCCACAGACAGAUAUUUUGGCCCAUCCAUCUGUAGGAGGGUUUGUAUCGCACUGUGGAUGGAACUCUAUAUUGGAAAGCAUAUGGUUUGGCGUUCCAAUUGCCGCGUGGCCAUUAUAUGCAGAGCAACAACUUAAUGCUUUUCAAAUAAUUGUGGAGUUAGGGUUGGGAGUGGAGAUUAAAAUGGAUUAUAGAAAGGACUUGUACUCGGAUGGUAAUGAAAAUGUCAUUAGUGCCGGGGAGAUCGAGAGAGGAGUGAGGUGUUUAAUGGAGCUUUGCGAUGAGAAGAGGGAGAGGUUGAAGGAGAUGAGUGGAAAGGGCAAGAAGGCUUUGGAGAACGGUGGAUCCUCGUUCACUUGGUUAGGUCGUUUCAUUCAAGAUACGGUGGAUCAACUGCCAUGAUUAAAUUGUACUCUCUUCAUCUUGUUUAAUACAAAGUCUUUCAGCUGAUAUGUUGUCUUUCUAUAAUAUAUAUGUAUUUCUCUGGUCUUUUUUUUUUAAUAUGAAUGUCAGAACCUUCUUUAUUAUUAUUAGUUCUCGUGAUUGAUUUGAAAACUGAUAUGAAAGAAGUUUAGGUCAUCAGUUGAUUCUAUAAUAAUUAUUUUUAUUAAAACAGUAUUUUUUUCUUUUAUUGAUUUGACGAGAGUCGAACAGAUUUGAUUGAUUUAAUAUUUUAACUGAUUUUAACUAAAAACUUUAAAUGUCGAAUUUCUAAAGGCCAAGCUGAUAAACUUCUAACAGACUACCAAACAUAUGUGGUGUGUGUGUGUGUGUGUGAAAUUAUUGUAAUUAAAAAAACAGUUGAAGAAGUAUUGUCAUAGAUUUCGGCAAACCUAGAAAACAUAGUAAAAUUACAUUUGAUUUGUACAUUGAAAUUAUCACUUUAGCUUUGUCAAGAAAAACUCAAUGCAAUUCAUUUUAAAGAUAUAAAAGUCUUUUUCAAUAUUAGAGACGAAAGGCCUCUCUUUUUUCAUAGUAAAAUUACAUAAUUAUUCUUAAAAAUAAAAAAAAAUAUUAAACUUAAUAUAGUAGUGUUUUAGUUUUUUUUUUUUCUCAACAUAGUAGUAGAAUGAUUUUAGUAUCUUAGAAAGCAAAAAUUACUAAACUUCUUUCAGGUUUUUUGUUUUAAUUUCAUUAAUUUUUUUUAAUAAUAAUCAAGUUGAUUUAGGACUAAUUUUAUAUUUUGAUAAAUAUAUAAUAUUAUUAAAAAAAUAAUGAUUUAACUGUGAUUAAUCCAUGGAAAUUAAAUCAAAUACAAAAAAAAAUUUAUAAAGGAUAAUAAAAUUAUGGUUGCCGAUGAGGGGAGGGUGUUUUAGAAUAUGGUAACGUUGCUUUUCAAAGUGUUUUUCGCUUAUAAAUUUAUUAAAAUAACAUAUAUAUCUUUUACUUUUGAAAAAUUAUUUUUGACAUUAACACAUUAAAACAAACAAAAAACAUAAACAAAAAAUUUUAAACAAAAAAAAAAUUUUUACCAAAAAAAAAAUUAAACCAUCCAGUCAAACACACCCAGAACAAAAUAAAGCAAGAAGAUGAAAGAGACGAGCAAAACAAGUCGAAAAGCUUUGAAUAAUGAAGGAUGUUCAUAUUCGUCAUUCAAUCGUCUAAUUGCAGACAUGAUGGAUAAUACACAUUCAAUAAAUUUUCUUUAACUUUAUUCCUUACUUAGCCUUGAUUUAAAAAAUGAACCCUGUAAGAAAGGGAAAAAAUUAAUUAAAUUCGAUUAAGGCUUAAUCCUCUUUUUUGUCACAGAUUUCCUCUUCUAUAUCUCAAAGAAUCGCUCUUCUCUUUCUCGCCGUGCAUCCAACAAUGAUAAAGGCACUUUCCCCUGCAACCCUUGACCUGCAAAAAUCAGCAAAAAAACCCCAUCAAUUUAAACAUUUGAUUUUUUUUUUUUUUUGGAAUGAGAGAAUCGCACGAACUUAACAAAAAAAACCUCAUCUUCCGAAAACAAAUCCCAAACGCAAACAUCAUUGCUGCUAUGUGGAGAGGGGAAAAAAAGUGAAAAAAAAUCAAGCAAUGCUCUCUCUCGGCAACAGAGAGGAGAGAAUAAGAUAAAACAAACAAGCUGUGGACAGGGGAGAGAGAAAGUGAACAAUUGACAAAGUAAUUGUAGUUGUAAGAAACCCACCAUUUCCUAAUGAGAUAUCCAUCUACAAAACACACCCGUCAGGAAGAAAAAAAUUGUAAUUGGCAAGACAUCAAGCCCACAUAGAAUAAGCCUGGUGCCUUGCAACAAAGACUAAGAAUUUUAUAUAUAUAUAUAUAUAUAUAUAUAUAUAUAUAUAUCAUAAAAAUGACAUCUUAGCAAUGAAAACUACAAUUAAAGUUGAUUCUGUUUUAAUUUUUUUUUGUUAACAAAAUUUAAUUUCUCCAAUAUUAUUGACAGGCAAUACUCAGCGGGUCAGGUUAAAUUUUGUUUAAUGUAAAAAAAUAUUUAAGCAUUGCUGCUUUUUCUAGUAGAAAAAAAUUGAUUCGAUGUAUCAAUGAUUUAAACCAAAACAUAGAUCUAGAUAAUAUAGAAUAUAGUUGUUAGACUCCGUUCACUAACAUAUUAAAAAAAAAUUUGAAUCCCCAAUUAUCAAGAUUAAUUUGUAUGUUACUAGCUUCCAUGUCAAUUAUUUUUAUUAAAAUAUCAGUAUUAUUUGGUUCUAGGCUUUUUUAAAAAAAACAAUUCUUAGUGUUGAUGUUUCUAGGUGAGUUAUUAACUAAGUUUUUGAAAAAAAUUAAAAUCACUACUUUUUCAAAUUAAUUUAUCAAAUCAUAUGAAGUCAAAUCAAGUUUAACCAUUAUAAUAUUAUGAUAUUUGAUUUUUUUUUCUUCAUUUAAAUUUCAAGAUUAGUGUUUAUUUUUUAAAAAAAAUACACCGAACUGAUAUAAAGAUAGAUUAUGUGUUUUUAAAGUUAUUCAAAACCUAAAUUUAAUCUUUAUUAACAUCAAUCUAUAUAUAUAUAUAUAUAAAAGCAUAGAAAAUUCAGCCCAUAAUAUGUAGUAAAAAACGUUGUCGUCUUCUACUUUGAAUUUCAUAAAAGAGAACUCAAUUUAAAUUUCUGACAGGGACGGCAUCCCAUUUUUUUGGGUCUUCUUGACGAAUUGUAAAAGCAGUCCACAAUCACAGCAAAGCCAUGACCUCACUCUUAUUCUUGUCCUGCUCGUAUAUAUUUUUGAACAAUAUAUUGCCAAUCUCAAGUCCACUAAUUACAGCCACAAACAGUGCCUUUAAAAAGGAUAUGAAAAUCAGUCUUUUACAUUCAACCCCACCUUGAAAUCCUCUAGCAAACAAAGAAAAAAAAAGGAGCUCAGUAGCAGAAUGAAGAAAGCUGAGCUGGUCUUCAUACCAACACCAGGUAUAAGCCACCUCGUAUCCACAGUAGAGGUAGCAAAGCUUCUUGUAGACCGUGAUGAGAGGCUUUCAAUCACCUUCCUCAUCAUGAAACUACGUUCUGACCCCAAGAUUGAUAGGUUUAUAAAUUCAGUGAGUACAGCCUGUAAUCGUAUCCGGUUCAUUGACUUGCCUAAAGAUGAGCCUGAUCCAAACCAACCCAGGAAGUUUCUCUUUUCUUUGAUUGAAGCCCAGAAACCCCAUGUCACAGAAGAAGUCUGUAAGCUUGUGAGUCAGUCGGAGUCAAGCCCUGACUCGCCUCCUCUUGCUGGGUUUGUUCUUGAUAUGUUUUGUACAUCUAUGAUAGAUGUGGCCAAUGAAUUUGGUGUUCCAUCAUAUAUUUUCCUUACGUCAGGUGCAGCUUUUCUUGGCCUUCAAUUUUAUGUUCAGGCUCUUCACGAUGACCGGAAAGUUGACCCUACUGAGUACAAGGGCUCGGAUGUUGAGUUGGUCAUGCCGUGUUUGGCAAAUCCUCUUCCAGCGAAGGUCUUGCCUUCUGUUAUGCUUAACAAAGAGUGGCUGCCAAAUAUGCUCAGUCAAGCUAGAAGGUUUAGAGAAACUAAGGGUAUUAUAAUAAACACAUUUGAAGAGCUGGAAUCUCAUGCGAUCAACUCCUUUUCUAAAGGUAAUAGCCCUCCGGUAUAUCCAGUGGGUCCCAUUUUAAACCUUAAUAGAGAUGGUGAUCGUGAGGAGGAGUCUGAUAAACGCAAAGACAUCAAGCAAUGGCUUGAUGAUCAGCCCCUGUCCUCAGUAGUGUAUCUAUGCUUCGGCAGCAUGGGGAGUUUCGGUGUGGAUCAGGUGAAGGAAAUCGCAUGUGGGCUAGAGCAGAGCGGCCACCGAUUCUUGUGGUCUCUACGUCAGCCACCACCGAAAGGUAAGAUAGAACCUCCAAGCGAUUACACUAAUCCUCGGGAGGUCUUACCUGAAGGAUUUUUGGAUCGGACGGCUAACAUUGGAAAAAUAAUUGGUUGGGCCCCACAGACAGAUAUUUUGGCCCAUCCAUCCGUACGAGGUUUUGUCUCCCACUGUGGAUGGAACUCUAUAUUGGAAAGCAUAUGGUUUGGCGUUCCAAUUGCCGCGUGGCCAUUAUAUGCAGAGCAACAACUGAAUGCCUUUCAAAUAAUUGUUGAGCUCGGAUUGGGAGUGGAGAUUAAAAUGGAUUAUAGAAGAGAGUUUAUCUCGGAUGGUAAUGAAAAUGUCAUUAGUGCCGGGGAGAUCGAGAGAGGAGUGAGGUGUUUAAUGGAGCUUUGCGAUGAGAAGAGGGAGAGGUUGAAGGAGAUGAGUGGAAAGGGCAAGAAGGCUUUGGAGAACGGUGGAUCCUCGUUCACUUGGUUAGGCCGUUUCAUUCAAGAUUCGGUGGACCACCUGCCAUGAUUAAAUUGUAUUCUCUUAAUUCGUAUUAUUUAAUACAAUCUUUUAGUUUACAUGUUAUCUUUUUUAAUAUAUAUGAGAUGACUUGCUUGUACGCUGUUAUAAUUUAAUAAAACAAAUAUAUUUAAUAAUAUUAUAAUUAUGAAUCAAUGUUAGAUAAUUGAUAAAAACUAAAAGUAUGAUGAAGCCAAUAUUUCAAGAUAGAAAAAAAGUUGUGUUAGUGAUCAAAAACUUAGAGACUGAACAAAAUGAUUUGUAGCAAUCUACAGUGUUUUGUGAGGAAAUAUACAGUGUUUUUACCAUAUGAUUUAGUUUUUCUGUUAAUAAAAAACAAAAAAAAAUUACAAAGCUAAAUUCUCUACCAACUUAAUAUUAAAAAAAAACCAACAAAGAUAAUUUUGGAAGGAAAAAAACCUAUGAGGAAAAACGUUGUAGCAAUUGAUAAUGUUUUGUGAGGAAAACUACACUGUUUUCUCCAAUAAAAUCGACAAAGACAAUUUUAGAAAAAAUCAUGAAAAAAUCAUUUAGACAAAUACUGUAGCAAUUAACAGUGUUUUGUGAGAAAAGCUACAACGCUUUCCCAUAUGAUUUAGCUUUAUUGUAAUUAUAAUUCUUAACCAGCUCAAUAUUAAAAAAAAUCAAAAAGAUGAUUUUGAAAAAAAUCAUAUGGGAAAACACAACAAUUCACAGUGUUUAAAAAAAAUUACAAAGCUAAAUUCUCAAUAAGCUCAAUAUUAAAAAAAAAAAAUCGACAGAGAUAAUUUUAGAAAAAGAAUAACAAAAAAAAUACAAAAAAGACAGGAAAAAAAAUCAUGUUGGAAACACUAUAGCAAUUCACAGUGUUUUGUGAUGAAAGUUACAGUGCUUCCCCACAUGAUUUAGCCUUAUCUGUAAUGAUUUGUAAUUGUAAUUCUAAACCAGCUCAAUAUUAAAAAAUAAAAUUCACAAAGAUAAUUUUGAAAAAAUCAUAAGAAAAAAAAAACCUUGUUGAGAGACACUCUAGCAAUCCACAGUGUUUUGUGAGGAAAGCUAUAAUGUUUUCUCCACAUAAUUAAUCUUUAUUACAAAGUUAAAUUCUAACUAACUUAAUAUUAAAAAAAUAAAAUCGACAAAGAUAAUUUUAAAAAAAAUAUUACAAAAAAGAAAACACAAAAGAACUGGAAAAAAAUCAUAUGGGAGAAAACACUAUGGCAAUCCACAGUAAUUUGCGAGUAAAGUUACAGUGUUUUCUCACAUAUUGUAACUGUAAUUUUUAACCAGCUCAAUAUUAAAAAAUAAAAUCGAAAAAGAUAAUUUCGGAGAAAAUCAUAAAAAAAAAUAAAAAAAAUCAUGCGGAGAAACACUGCAGCAAUCAACAAUGUUUUAAAAAAAAUUAUAAAACUAAAUUCUCAAUCGGCUCAAUAUUAAAAAAAAUAAAAUCAACAAAAAUAAUUUUGAAAAAUAAAAAAAUAAAAUAGAAAAACCAUGUGGGAAAACACCGUAGUAAUCCACAGUAUUUUAAAGAAAAAAAAUUACAAAGCGAAAUUUUUAACCAGCUGAAUAUUAAAAAGUAAAAUCGACAAUGAUAAUUAAAAAAAAUAAACAAAAAAAAUGGGAAAAAAGAAAAGUAAUUUUGGAAAAAUAAAAUAAAAAAUAAACAAAAAAAGGGGGAAAGUUGGAAAAAAAAAACAUAAAAGUACAAAAAAAAAUAAAAAAAUAUACUGUAAAUUACUAUUAUAAUCCAUAAAUAUGAAUAAACCGUAAAUCACCCGCACCCUUUAGCUUAUUUCUUAAUGUUAUCUUUAUGCAUGGGUGUAGGGGAGUUUGCCAUGUCUUAGGCCUAGGAAAGCAUGAAGUGCCCGGUCAUGCUUGAGGGGUGAUGGCAAAAAAUUCCUUAGGCUCAAUAAACUUGGAAAACACGUGUUGGGUCUAGAUACUGGGCUUGGCUAGACAUCAUCUAUGAGCUCUGGGCCAACAUCAAUAUCCAAGAAUUUCGUAUUCAGCUUCGGUCUUCAUACCAGCACCAGGUAUAAUCCAAAAGCUCAUAUUUGCAUGGUGUGCUUUUCUCGAAGCUCAUAUUGAAGCUCGUCGGUCAGGUCAAGAAGUUGCAUUCCACUAAUCUAACUUGGUUCGAGUGGCUUGGUCCCCUGACAAGGACAUCUCUUUCUCUGCUUUAGUCCAAAAGUCCGUCAUGACAUUUCUUUGAUUAGACGAUUAUCGGUGAUCCAGAAAUCCACAUAGAAUAGGCUUGGUGUCUUGCCACGAAGACUAAGAAUUAUAUAUAAAAAAUUUCAUAAAAAUGAUAUUUCUGCAAUCAAAACUACAAUUAAAGUUAAUUUUGUUUUAAUUAUUUUGUUGAUAAGAUUUAAUUUCCACAAGAUCAUUAGCUCAUACUUUCUAGCAAGUCAGAUUAAAUUUUAUUGAAUGUAAAAAAAUAUUUAAGCAUUGUUAAUGUUAUUUAUAACAGAAAAUAAAAUUAAAUUGAUGUCACCUGUUCAACUUGAAGGAUACAAAGAUAAUCUAGACAACAUAUAAUCUAGACAACAACCCUCUAAAAAAUAUGAUUUGACUAAAAACAAGAUGACAACAUAUUGACUUGAUCCAAAUCAAACUAGGUUAACCUACUAAUUUUACAACUAUGGUUAUAAGACCAUAAUAAUAAAACAUAAUUCUCAAUUAACUCAAUUUUAAAUGAUAAAAUUAAAAAAAAUCAAUUAAAAAAAAAUCUAAAAAUGGCAUGAUUUAACCCGGGCUAACUCGUCAAACUAUUGACUUGGUCAUGAGACCAGAAUAAUCUCAUAGAAAACAAAUUAAAAUAAGUUAUAAAAAUCAAUUUUCAAUCAACUCAAUGUUGAAGGAUGAAAUCUAAAAAGAAAAUACUCAAAUAAAAAGUACACAAAAAAUGACUUGAAUCAAUCUAGGUUAACACACUAUACCUAUUACCUGGAUCAUGAGACCACGAUAAUCUUAUAUGAACAAAAACAAAAACCACUUGGUCAUAAGGUUGAGAUAACCUUAUAAAAAAAAUAAUAUGAAGCAUAAUUUUCAAUCACCUCAAUGUUAAAAAAAAAAUUUAAAAAUAAUCAAGUUAAAAAGGAAAAUAAAGAAAACGACUCUAGUUAAUUUGAGUUAAUUUAUCAAGCUCGUAGCUUGAGUUAUGAUAUAAUAAUAACCUCAUAGAAACUAAACCAAAACAAAUCAUAAAAGCAAAAUUUCUCAUGAAUAAAAUAUUUUAGAAUGAAAUUGAUUAAAAGAAAGUCAAUAAAAAAAAGAAAUAAAAAUAAUAAAGUUAACCGGAUUAACAUGCUAAACCUGUGACUCGAGUUAUGAAGAUAGGAUGACCUCAAUCGAAAUAAAUCAUAAAAUCUAAUUUUUAAUAAAUUGAAUGAUAAAAUUAAUUUAAAAAAACAACAUAAAAUUACCAUCAAAAUAAUAAUUACUUUGUGAGGUGAUGUAAUGUGAAAACAACUUUUUUUUAAUGUUAACUAACAUGGAAAUAAAUCUAGCAACAUCAAAAUAAAUAAAUAAGUAUGGUUUGAAAAUUUAGCCCAUAAUAUGCAGUGAAGAAACAUUGUCCUUUUCUGCAUUAAAUUCCACAACUAGAAAACAUUCUAUAAUGAAUGCAUGUCGAGGAGUAUAUUAUUGUGGAGGUUAUUUUUUAAAGUUUUUUAUUUAAAAGUAUAUUAAGAUAAUAUUUUUAUUUUUUUAAUUUCUUUUAAUAUCAUUAUAUAAAAAUAAUCUAAAAGUAAAAAAAGGUAAAACUAUGAACAAAUAAUUCUUUAAAAAAUAUAGUUAUACGUCAAUGUCAAUCUCUACCUAUAUUUACGGCUAUCGAAUUUUGUAAUAGCUGUCCACCUUGACAGCAAGGUCAUGACCUUACUCUCCUACACCUGCAUCAUUGCUUAACAAAAUAUUUUAAAUCUCUCAAAUCCACUUAAUUAUAUAGCCACAAAUAUUGCACAUAAAAAGGAUAUAAAAUCAGACUCUUGCAUUCAAUCCCAUUCCCACCUUGAAUUCUCUACUCGUUGUUAACCAAAAAAAAAAAGAGGCUCAGUAGCAGAAUGAAGAAAGCUGAGCUAGUCUUCAUACCGACACCAGUUAUAAGCCACCUUGUAUCCACAGUGGAGGUAGCGAAGCUUCUUGUAGACCGUGAUGAGAGGCUUUCAAUCACCUUCCUCAUUAUGAAACUGUGCUCUUCCUCCAAGAUUGAUAGCUUCAUAGAUUCAGUGAGGACAGCCAGUAAUCGUAUCAGGUUCAUUGACUUGCCUCAAGAUGAGCCUGGUCCAAACCAACCCAACAAAACUUUCUUUUCUUUGAGUGAAACCCAGAAACCCCACGUCAAAGAAGAAGUCUCUAAGCUAGUGAGUCAGUCCGAGUCAAGCCCUGACACGCCUACACUUGCUGGGUUUGUUCUUGAUAUGUUUUGUACAUCUCUGAUAGAUGUGGCCAAUGAAUUUGGUGUUCCCUCAUAUAUCUUCCUUACGUCAGGUGCAGCUUAUCUUGGUCUUGUGUUUUAUAUUCAGGCUCUUCAUGGUGAGCAGAGAGUCGACCCUCUCGAGUUCAAGGACUCGGAAGCUGAAGUGGUCAUGCCUUGUUUGGCGAAUCCAUUUCCAGCCAGGGUCCUACCUUCUUUUUUGCUUAACAAAGAGUGGCUGGGUUCUGUCCUCGCUCAAGCUAGAAGGUUCAGGGAAAGUAAGGGUAUUAUAGUAAACACAUUUGAAGAGCUGGAAUCUCAUGCGAUCAACUCCUUUUCUAAUGGUAAUACCCUUCCUGUGUAUCCAGUGGGUCCCAUUCUGAACCUUAGUAGAGAUGGUCACCGUGAUGUGGAGUCUGAUGAAUUCAAAGACAUCAAGCAAUGGCUUGAUGAUCAGCCUCUAUCCUCAGUGGUGUAUAUAUGCUUCGGGAGCAUGGGAAGUUUCGGUGUGGAUCAGGUGAAGGAAAUCGCAUGUGGGCUGGAGCAGAGUGGCCACCGAUUCUUGUGGUCUCUACGUCAGCCACCACCGAAAGGCAAGAUAGAACCUCCAAGCGAUUACACUAAUCCUCAGGGCGUCUUACCUGAAGGGUUUUUGGAUCGGACGGCUAACACAGGAAAAAUAAUUGGAUGGGCCCCGCAGACAGAUAUUUUGGCCCAUCCAUCUGUAGGAGGGUUUGUAUCGCACUGUGGAUGGAACUCUAUAUUGGAAAGCAUAUGGUUUGGCGUUCCAAUUGCCGCGUGGCCAUUAUAUGCAGAGCAACAACUGAAUGCCUUUCAAAUAAUUGUUGAGCUCGGAUUGGGAGUGGAGAUUAAAAUGGAUUAUAGAAAAGAACUGAAGUCGGAUGGUAAUGAAAUUAAUGUCAUUAGUGCCGGGGAGAUCGAGAGAGGAGUAAGGUGUUUAAUGGAGCUUUGCGAUGAGAAGAGGGAGAGGUUGAAGGAGAUGAGUGGAAAGGGUAGGAAGGCUUUGGAGAACGGUGGAUCCUCGUUCACUUGGUUAGGUCGUUUCAUUCAAGAUUCGGUGGACCACCUGCCAUGAUUAAAUUGUAUUCUCUUAAUUCGUAUUAUUUAAUACAAUGUCUUUUAAUUUACAUGUUAUCUUUUUUGUUAUAAUUAUAGCUGUCGGAUCUUCCUGCGAAUUUAUAUGAAAAAUCCAAGAGGCUAUCAAGUGA